rnacentral:rRNA from 1 species
AGGACGAACGCUGGCGGCGUGCUUAACACAUGCAAGUCGAGCGGAAAGGCCCUUCGGGGUACUCGAGCGGCGAACGGGUGAGUAACACGUGAGUAAUCUGCCCCUAGCUCUGGGAUAGCUCCGGGAAACCGGGAUUAAUACCAGAUACGACCACUUUAGACAUCUGUUGUGGUGGAAAGAAUUUCGGCUAGGGAUGAGCUCGCGGCCUAUCAGCUUGUUGGUGAGGUAACGGCUCACCAAGGCGACGACGGGUAGCCGGCCUGAGAGGGCGACCGGCCACACUGGGACUGAGACACGGCCCAGACUCCUACGGGAGGCAGCAGUGGGGAAUAUUGCGCAAUGGGCGAAAGCCUGACGCAGCGACGCCGCGUGGGGGAUGAAGGCCUUCGGGUUGUAACCCUUUCAGCAGGGACGAAGCGAAGUGACGGUACCUGCAGAAGAAGCGCCGGCUAACUACGCGCCAGCAGCCGC